rnacentral:snRNA from 1 species
GGCUUUGAGGGCAAUCUGGUUGUGACAUUUAUCACCCUGUUGAUUGCCAGGGUUGAUUUGGCUGAUCGGGUUGCCCAGGUGGGUGUCCCCUUCCUCCCUCACCACUUCAUGUGCACUAGUCAUGAAACUGCCCACUCAGUGGAAAGAGGACGACCAUUUCAGACAGAAGAAGUGUAUGAUCAAGGGUAUGCAGUAGCUGCAUUCUCCUGCUAGCACCUCCAAAGAAGCGCAAUGUCCAUUUGCAGGAGACAUAGGAUGGUUUCUGAAAACACCGGUAUCUGAAAUAGUUUCUGUUUUAUUCUUAAGAAAUUAUAAAUAGAU